rnacentral:rRNA from 1 species
UACGGGAGGCAGCAGUAGGGAAUCUUCGGCAAUGGGGGGAACCCUGACCGAGCAACGCCGCGUGAGUGAAGAAGGUUUUCGGAUCGUAAAGCUCUGUUGUAAGAGAAGAACGGGUGUGAGAGUGGAAAGUUCACACUGUGACGGUAUCUUACCAGAAAGGGACGGCUAACUACGUGCCAGCAGCCGCGGUAAU